UACGGAGGGUGCGAGCGUUGUCCGGAAUCACUGGGCGUAAAGGGCGCGUAGGUGGCGCGGGCAGUCAACGGUGAAAGUUCGGGGCUCAACCCUGAAUCGGCCGUCGAUACUCCCGGGCUUGAGCACUGUAGAGGCAGAUGGAAUUCCGGGUGUAGCGGUGGAAUGCGUAGAGAUCCGGAAGAACACCGGUGGCGAAGGCGGCCCGCUGGGCUGGUUGCU
rnacentral:rRNA from 1 species